CACUGGAGCACUGGUUCUCAUAUGAUCACUGAAGUUAAGCAAUGUUGAUCCUGGUCAGUACCUACAUGAGUGACCACUUGGGAAUACCAGAUGCUGUAAG